rnacentral:rRNA from 1 species
CCGGGCGGGCUACUCCCACCACGCCUUGUUAGUGGGAGCAUUACACAAAUAUGAAGGCGGGCUGGAACCUCUCGGGGUUACAGCCUUGCUGAAUUAUUCACCCUUGUCUUUUGCGUACUUCUUGUUUCCUUGGUGGGUUCGCCCACCACUAGGACAAACAUAAACCUUUUGUAAUUGCAAUCAGCGUCAGUAACAAAUUAAUAAUUACAACUUUCAACAACGGAUCUCUUGGUUCUGGCAUCGAUGAAGAACGCAGCGAAAUGCGAUAAGUAGUGUGAAUUGCAGAAUUCAGUGAAUCAUCGAAUCUUUGAACGCACAUUGCGCCCUUUGGUAUUCCAAAGGGCAUGCCUGUUCGAGCGUCAUUUGUACCCUCAAGCUUUGCUUGGUGUUGGGCGUCUUGUCUCUAGCUUUGCUGGAGACUCGCCUUAAAGUAAUUGGCAGCCGGCCUACUGGUUUCGGAGCGCAGCACAAGUCGCACUCUCUAUCAGCAAAGGUCUAGCAUCCAUUAAGCCUUUUUUUCAACUUUUGACCUCGGAUCAGGUAGGGAUACCCGCUG